rnacentral:rRNA from 1 species
GACGAACGCUGGCGGCGUGCUUAACACAUGCAAGUCGAACGGGAUUUAGUAAACAGAAACCUCGGUGGAAGAUUACUACUGAGAGUGGCGAACGGGUGAGUAACGCGUGAGCAACCUGCCUAUGACAGUGGGAUAGCCUCGGGAAACCGGGAUUAAUACCGCAUAAAAUCGUAGAAACACAUGUUUUAACGGUCAAAGAUUUAUCGGUCAUAGAUGGGCUCGCGUCUGAUUAGCUAGUUGGUGAGAUAACAGCCCACCAAGGCGACGAUCAGUAGCCGGUCUGAGAGGAUGAACGGCCACAUUGGAACUGAGACACGGUCCAAACUCCUACGGGAGGCAGCAGUGGGGAAUAUUGCACAAUGGGGGAAACCCUGAUGCAGCGACGCCGCGUGAACGAAGAAGGUAUUCGUAUCGUAAAGUUCUGUCCUAUGGGAAGAUAAUGACAGUACCAUAGAAGAAAGCUCCGGCUAAAUACGUG